GUUGAACGCUGGCGGCGUGCCUAAUACAUGCAAGUCGAGCGGACGGACGAGAAUCGCUCCUCGCUUCUGUUAGGGGCGGGUGGGUGAGGAAUACGUGGAUAACCGGUCUUUAAGGAUGGGGUAAGUUCAGGGGACCUAAGACCAUAUCCGUUAAGAGUUUGAAACGGAUGGGUCUAAAGUGCAAAACCGUCCUGCUGUCACUUGUUCGUAGAUCCGCGCUGCAUUAGCUAGUUGGUAAGGUAACGGCUUACCAAGGCAACGAUGCAUAGCCGACCUGAGAGGGUGAUCGGCCACACUGGAACUGAGACACGGUCCAGACUCCUACGGGAGGCAGCAGUAGGGAAUCUUCCGCAAUGGGCGAAAGCCUGACGGAGCAACGCCGCGUGAGUGAUGAAGGUCUUCGGAUCGUAAAACUCUGUUAUUAGGGAAGAACAUAUGUGUAAGUAACUGUGCACAUCUUGACGGUACCUAAUCAGAAAGCCACGGCUAACUACGUG
rnacentral:rRNA from 1 species